rnacentral:tRNA from 1 species
AGCUUUAUAGUCAAAAUAUGAAUGACACUAAAUUGCAAAUUUAGUAGUAGGGGUUUCCUUAAGGCUU